rnacentral:tRNA from 1 species
CCCUGGCUGGCUCAGUUGGUAGAGCGUCUGACUCUUGAUCUCAGGGUCGUGAGUUCAAGCCCCACACUGGGUG